rnacentral:rRNA from 1 species
AGAGUUUGAUUAUGGCUCAGGAUGAACGCUGGCGGCGUGCUUAACACAUGCAAGUCGAACGGAACUCUUUUGAUUGAGGCUUCGGCCAAAUGAUUCUGAGUUUAGUGGCGGACGGGUGAGUAACGCGUGAGUAACCUGCCUUGGAGUGGGGAAUAACGGCUGGAAACGGUCGCUAAUACCGCAUGAAGCAUUGAGAUCGCAUGGUUUUGAUGCCAAAGAUUUAUCGCUCUGAGAUGGACUCGCGUCUGAUUAGCUAGUUGGUGAGGUAACGGCCCACCAAGGCGACGAUCAGUAGCCGGACUGAGAGGUUGACCGGCCACAUUGGGACUGAGACACGGCCCAG